UUUUCACUGUUGCUCCACCGACCAUGCCAUCGGUUCUUUCUCCUUCUCGUCUUUCUCCCUUUCGUCGUAUUCCCUACUCCGGCAGUUGCGCCACCCGGUUGCUUGACCAGUGGAGCGAUCUACUUAGGCAAAACGGUUUGUUUAACUAAAGGUGUCUAAGAAGAUGAAGAGGUGCUCCAGCGAAUUCCAUGAAGAAGCGAUAAACAAUGGUGCGGUGUGAAAGCGGUAUAGUUGUGCACUAGGAUUUGUGCAUUUUGUGAAAGCGGUAUAGCUGUGCACUAGGAUUUGUGCGUUUUGUGUAAUCAAGUGAUGAAAAUUGUUCAUCAUUUGUUCUUUCUCUUCAUAGAUCUGGUAUUGGUUUUGUUUCUGGUGCAAGUUGAAGCCGAUUUCUUGGUUUUGUGUUAUGCAGUAAUCUUGUCUACAUGGAAGUGUCGUAAUUCUCGAUAUUUUAAUCGAAGCGAUAGCCACCAGAGUCCAUGACUA